ACGGAAGGCAGCAGUGGGGAAUAUUGCACAAUGGGCGCAAGCCUGAUGCAGCGAUGCCGCGUGAGGGAAGAAGGUUUUCGGAUUGUAAACCUCUGUCAACAGGGACGAUAAUGACUGUACCUGUGAAGGAAGCUCCGGCUAACUACGUGCCAGCAGCCGCGGUAAUACGGAGGACCCGAGCGUUAUCCGGAUUUAUUGGGUUUAAAGGGUGCGCAGGCGGAGGAUUAAGUCAGCGGUGAAAUUCUCAUGCUCAACAUGAGAACUGCCAUUGAUACUGGUCCCCUUGAGAGAUGUCGAGGAUGGCGGAAUGUGAUGUGUAGCGGUGAAAUGCUUAGAUAUGUCACAGAACACCGAUUGCGAAGGCAGCUGUCCAGAGAUCAUCUGACGCUCAGGCACGAAAGCAUGGGUAUCAAACAGGAUUAGAUACCCUGGUA
rnacentral:rRNA from 1 species